CCUACGGGUGGCAGCAGUCGAGAAUCAUUCACAAUGGGGGAAACCCUGAUGGUGCGACGCCGCGUGGGGGAAUGAAGGUCUUCGGAUUGUAAACCCCUGUCAUGUGGGAGCAAAUUAAAAAGAUAGUACCACAAGAGGAAGAGACGGCUAACUCUGUGCCAGCAGCCGCGGUAAUACAGAGGUCUCAAGCGUUGUUCGGAAUCACUGGGCGUAAAGCGUGCGUAGGCUGUGUCGUAAGUCGUGUGUGAAAGGCGGGGGCUCAACCCGCGGACGGCACAUGAGACUGCGGGACUAGAGUAAUGGAGGGGGAACCGGAAUUCGCGGUGUAGCAGUGAAAGGCGUAGAUAUCGAGAGGAACACUCGUGGCGAAGGCGGGUUCCUGGACAUUAACUGACGCUGAGGCACGAAGGCCAGGGGAGCGAAAGGGAUUAGAUACCCGGGUAGUC
rnacentral:rRNA from 1 species